GGCGUAAGGGCUCGCAGGCGGUUUCUUAAGUCUGAUGUGAAAGCCCCCGGCUCUACCGGGGAGGGUCAUUGGAAACUGGGGAACUUGAGUGCCCAAGAGGAGAGUGGAAUUCCACGUGUAGCGGUGAAAUGCGUAGAGAUGUGGAGGAACACCAGUGGCGAAGGCGACUCUCUGGUCUGUAACUGACGCUGAGGAGCGAAAGCGUGGGGAGCGAACAGGAUUAGAUACCCUGGUAGUCCACGCCGUAAACGAUGAGUGCUAAGUGUUAGGGGGUUUCCGCCCCUUAGUGCUGCAGCUAACGCAUUAAGCACUCCGCCUGGGGAGUACGGUCGCAAGACUGAAACUCAAAGGAAUUGACGGGGGCCCGCACAAGCGGUGGAGCAUGUGGUUUAAUUCGAAGCAACGCGAAGAACCUUACCAGGUCUUGACAUCCUCUGACGGUGCUAGAGAUAGGACGCCCCCUUCGGGGGCAGAGUGACAGGUGGUGCAUGGUUG
rnacentral:rRNA from 1 species